AGUUGGAAGUGGGGAUCUCGGCA
rnacentral:miRNA from 11 species